UCAGUUACCACCGACGAUAAACCAUCUCUCUUUCGCCAGACCCUCUUCGGCCUCUCCACCCUCUCCGCCCAAUAAUCUCCACAAUUAACUCCUCUGCCAAUUAAUUUUCAUCACCGAUUCCUAUUCAUCUUCUCCAUCACGAUCCCCUUUAAACUUCCAUCUUCCACACAGAGAUUAGAAACACACCGGCCGCUGGUACAGCUGCCGCCCCCAGCCGUCCACCCCACGAGAGCCACCCACCGCCGCCCACCCCCACCCCCUCCCCGUCUGGACCCCGUAAGUCGCCGCCAGCAACUUGCGCGCCGUCGCCAGCCAACUGACCACCGGCGCCGCCCUCGACCAAGCCGUUGCGCGCGCCACCUGCCCCAACCCCAUCGCGUGCCGCUGGUGGCAACCUUCCCGAGCCCUCGCCGAUAGCCACAACCAUCCGCAGCUGUGGAUCCACCUUCCCCAACACCGAUCUGUACCCCGUGAUUCGACUUCUCGCCGCCGGCUAGCCUGCUUCAGUGCCACCGGGCAAGCCCACGGAGCAGCGCACGCCCAACGCCCUGACAGUGGCCAGCGACGCAUGUGUCCUUGGCCCCACCCAUCACCACCGACCAGACUACUUCUUCCUCCUUCAUCUGAAAACGACGAUCUGGAGGAGCCCACAACGGUGUCCCGUUUCUUCUCUAGUCAAGCUCUUCUUUUAUUUUGAAUAAGGCUUUUGUCAAGUUCCUCUACUCUUCUUGCAUCGUGAGUGUGGCAUCGCCGAGUCCAUGAAAAUUUUCACAACAUGGUAGUGGUACAAAGAUAAAUGGUGCGAUGCGAAGCAGCUGGUGGAUUCUGGGGGAUGCCAUCGUCGCACUAGGCCACCGUCGAUCACCAUCCGCUUACAGGAAGGUUUCAGAACUCAGAAGCUCCCUCUUCACCAUCCCUGCAAUCUUUUGCCUAUUUGGUUAGCGUGUUUCUUAUCUUGAUUAUUGUAGCUAUUAGAAUUGUUGGAUCUUUUGAUAUUUGGUCCUCGAUCUGACAAGUAUUACCUUUUUGAUAAAUAACUUUGUAAAACUGCAUCAUUCAGUUCAUUUCUUAGGUCAUCUCUAGUAGUAGUUAAUUUUAAGUCAAGAUUGAAGUUUUAAUAGUAAUCUAAGGACUGUACAUCUUGGUUAUUGUCUUAUUGAUUAUACAAUACAUAUUAGAGGAAAUUACAAGUGCCUUAAACAACCUACUGAAAUCUACGAUUACAUAGAGGUGUAGCCAUGGUUGAAGAUCAGGGCCAGAGCCAGAUUUGGACCAUGCUCUGAGCUGGCAGUUUUGCUUUGUGAUGUUAAUCAACACAUUUUCCCUCUUAUCUCUAUACAUCUUUACUGGUCCUAUAAGCGAUUCUGCAGGGUUACCAUGAUAGAUAAUUUUCUCAGAAACACAAAUCCGGGAGUACAUUUGUUCUGGGAUGGGGUGAAUUUAUUGGAGGAGACUACCAGUAAGUACUAUCUUUCCUUAAUGCCUGAUUAUAUCGCUGAAAUUAGCCUCGCCGUGCAUUUGUGCUGUCGUGCAUCGCUUUCGUAGGAGAUCUUGCAGCUUUCACUCAUGGGCGAUCUUAAUGGAGUUGCUAUGAACCAAAAUGUUCAGAGUAAAUAUCAAGAGUCUAUUCUCCCAUUUAAGUUUCUUCGAAGAAUCAAGAAUGCCAAGUACAGCACAACUUCUAAUUGUUGCUCCGAAUGAAAAAGAGAAAAUCAUCUGAGUAGGGAUUUCUAGACAAGGUACAACCUACAUGUAUAAGUUUUUCAAAGAAGUUAUCAUGCCAGUAUACAUAAAUAAAAUUUAGUUUUACUUA